CCUUUGACGUUAGCGGCGGACGGGUGAGUAACACGUGGGUAACCUACCUAUAAGACUGGGAUAACUUCGGGAAACCGGAGCUAAUACCGGAUAAUAUUCGAACCGCAUGGUUCGAUAGUGAAAGGCGGUUUUGCUAUCACUUAUAGAUGGACCCGCGCCGUAUUAGCUAGUUGGUAAGGUAACGGCUUACCAAGGCGACGAUACGUAGCCGACCUGAGAGGGUGAUCGGCCACACUGGAACUGAGACACGGUCCAGACUCCUACGGGAGGCAGCAGUC
rnacentral:rRNA from 1 species